AAACAUGCGAAUUCGAAACAGGAAAAAGAUUAUUUUUUUUAUUACAUUUAGAAACAGAUUUGAAAUGAAAAUUUCGAUUAUAUUUAGAAAUCGAAUGUAUUUCGAUUUAAAAAACGUUUUAUUUUUGUUUUGUUUAUUUUACGAGUUAAAAACUGAUUGAAAAUAGAAAUCCAUUUCAAAUAAAUAGAAAUCGAAAAAUAUCGAUUUUUAACUUAAAACGAUUUUGGAAAUGGAAUUUGUUCGGUUGCUAAUUUUGAAACAAAAAUUUAAGUUUUAAAAUCGUUUGAGUUUGGAACGAAUGCCAUAUUUAGUUUUUAAUUUAUUUAGAAAUAAGUGAAUUGUAAAUCAAGGGUCAAUUUAAAAAUACACAUAUAUGGAUUAAUUGUGAGGUGGAUCCGCCACUGAGUUAUGGAGUUUAAUGAAGUUUAAUAUCAUUAUUUCUUAAAUGAAGAGGUUCAAGAAAAGUUUUCAUCUAGUAUACAAGUUGGUCAAGUAAAAUCGAUGAAGGACCUCAUUUUUAGGGAUAAAAUAAUGAAAUUAGUUAGCAAAUUAUAAUGGAUUGUGAUUGAAGCAUAAAACUAUGAGUUAAUUAUGUUGCCUGCAAAAAGAGAUGUGGCAAAUUAAAAGAUGAUCCUGGUGAAACUUAGAUGGAAUAUUUUGAUGCCUAAGUUAAUAAUUUUGAUAAAAUAAGAGUAAGAGGAAUGUUUAGAAAAGAGCUUAGAAGUUGAAGAAAAAGUUACCUACCAUGUAGGGCUUUAGUUAUAUAAAAGGAUUAGAGUGCAUUUUAAAGAUGUGGAAAUGAUUAGUUCAAUUCUAAAUCAAAUUAAAUUGUAAAAAUUAAAUAAUUAAAAUUAUAAAAAAAAUAAUUAAACCGAUUUAAAAUAGAAGAAGAAAUUAAAUCAAACUGAAUAAAAUUUUUUUGACUCGAAUUGAUUUGUUUUGCUGAUUAUAGAACUAUGCCAUCUUUUUUUUCACUCUACCAAAUUAGCCAGCAGCCAAAAGUACCGGAGAGAUAUACUCAUUCCCCAUAAUAACUUUUUAGCAAUUUCCAUUAAAAAAAGAGAUGGAGAAAUUUUUAAUAAUCUGAUCAUAAAAUAAAAUCAACAAAUUUAUAAAUCACAAACCAUAAAAACUAAUUGUUCAAUUUUUUUUUCUUUAAAAUUACUCACUUUUAAGAGGGGAGAUUACUAUCUCUUGUUGUGUAGCCCAUC
rnacentral:misc_RNA from 1 species